UUAAAACAUGAACCUUUAUGGGACAUGUGCUUUUAUUAGGCUAAAACCAAGCGAUCGCAAGAUCGUAUAUUGGUUGAACUCUAGAUAACAUGCAGAUCGUAUGGUCAUGUACCGACGACAGAUCUUUCAAAUGUCUGCCCUAUCAACUUUUGAUGGUAGUAUCUAGGACUACCAUGGUUGCAACGGGUAACGGGGAAUCAGGGUUCGAUUCCGGAGAGGGAGCCUGAGAAACGGCUACCACAUCUAAGGAAGGCAGCAGGCGCGUAAAUUACCCACUCCCAGCUCGGGGAGGUAGUGACGAAAAAUAACAAUACAGGACUCAUAUCCGAGGCCCUGUAAUUGGAAUGAGUACACUUUAAAUCCUUUAACAAGGACCAAUUGGAGGGCAAGUGUGGUGCCAGCAGCCGCGGUAAUUCCAGCUCCAAUAGCGUAUAUUAAAGUUGUUGCGGUUAAAACGUUCGUAGUUGAACUUGUGCUUCAUACGGGUAGUACAACUUACAUUUGUGGUUAGUACUAUACCUUUAUGUAUGUAAGCGUAUUACCGGUGGAGUUCUUAUAUGUGAUUAAGUACUUGUAUUUUUUCAUAUGUUCCUCCUAUUUAAAAACCUGCAUUAGUGCUCUUAAACGAGUGUUAUUGUGGGCCGGUACAAUUACUUUGAACAAAUUAGAGUGCUUAAAGCAGGCUUCAAAUGCCUGAAUAUUCUGCAGACCUCUGUUCUGCUUUCAUUGGUUUUCAGAUCAAGAGGUAAUGAUUAAUAGAAGCAGUUUGGGGGCAUUAGUAUUACGACGCGAGAGGUGAAAUUCUUGGACCGUCGUAAGACUAACUUAAGCGAAAGCAUUUGCCAAAGAUGUUUUCAUUAAUCAAGAACGAAAGUUAGAGGUUCGAAGGCGAUCAGAUACCGCCCUAGUUCUAACCAUAAACGAUGCCAGCUAGCAAUUGGGUGUAGCUACUUUUAUGGCUCUCUCAGUCGCUUCCCGGGAAACCAAAGCUUUUGGGCUCCGGGGGAAGUAUGGUUGCAAAGCUGAAACUUAAAGGAAUUGACGGAAGGGCACCACCAGGAGUGGAGCCUGCGGCUUAAUUUGACUCAACACGGGA
rfam:Drosophila ficusphila Contig2044, whole genome shotgun sequence